rnacentral:rRNA from 1 species
GAUGAACGCUGGCGGCGUGCCUAAUACAUGCAAGUCGAGCGAACGGACGAGAAGCUUGCUUCUCUGAUGUUAGCGGCGGACGGGUGAGUAACACGUGGAUAACCUACCUAUAAGACUGGGAUAACUUCGGGAAACCGGAGCUAAUACCGGAUGAUAUUUUGAACCGCAUGGUUCAAAAGUGAAAGACGGUCUUGCUGUCACUUAUAGAUGGAUCCGCGCUGCAUUAGCUAGUUGGUAAGGUAACGGCUUACCAAGGCAACGAUGCAUAGCCGACCUGAGAGGGUGAUCGGCCACACUGGAACUGAGACACGGUCCAGACCCCUACGGGAGGCAGCAGUAGGGAAUCUUCCGCAAAGGGCGAAAGCCUGACGGAGCAACGCCGCGUGAGUGAUGAAGGUCUUCGGAUCGUAAAACUCUGUUAUUAGGGAAGAACAGAUGUGUAAGUAACUGUGCACAUCUUGACGGUACCUAAUCAGAAAGCCACGGCUAACUACGUG